UGUUCAGGUAGAGUGAUCCUUGUCUGUUACUCCCUUUGGAGGGCAGGUUGGAACAUGACGACUGGGUCUGGGUGAGUCAUUAGGGCCUCUGUGCGGCCAGGGCUGACACACCCUGACUCUGCACAGAAGAG